UCGUCGUCGCUGCCCGAAAUGCGGUGCACUCUUUCGUGGUACGCGUCAGCGUCGGUUCGCAGCGGGCGAUAAGGCCUUGUGGAAGGUAGCUAGGGGCUUGCCCCUAGUGUUAUAGACGCAGGAGCUGGGCUCGCUACGGACCGAGGAGAGAGAGUAUCGUUGCAGCGCAUGCCGCAAGGCUAGCUACCUGCCGUCUGUCUCGCUUCACAGACUGAGGACUGCACGCAGUGCUCGGACUGGCGGAGUGGUCCGGCGGUGGAGUGGUAUAAAUGCGCUCACGACGCUGGCGUCCAAAUGGCCGUGC
rnacentral:rRNA from 1 species